CUGAGUACGGCGGAACACGUGAAAUUCCGUCGGAAUCCGGGAGGACCAUCUCCCAAGGCUAAAUACUCCCUAGUGACCGAUAGUGAACCAGUACCGUGAGGGAAAGGUGAAAAGCACCCCGGAAGGGGAGUGAAACAGUUCCUGAAACCGUGUGCCUACAAGUAGUUAGAGCCCGUUAAUGGGUGAUAGCGUGCCUUUUGUAGAAUGAACCGGCGAGUUACGAUUUGUUGCAAGGUUAAGCGGAAAAAGCGGAGCCGUAGCGAAAGCGAGUCUGAAUAGGGCGCAUAAGUAACAGGUCGUAGACCCGAAACCAGGUGAUCUACCCAUGUCCAGGAUGAAGGUAAGGUAAUACUUACUGGAGGUCCGAACCCACGCACGUUGAAAAGUGCGGGGAUGAGGUGUGGGUAGCGGAGAAAUUCCAAUCGAACUUGGAGAUAGCUGGUUCUCUCCGAAAUAGCUUUAGGGCUAGCCUCGAGGUAAAGAGUCAUGGAGGUAGAGCACUGUUUGGACUAGGGGCCCUUCUCGGGUUACCGAAUUCAGAUAAACUCCGAAUGCCAUGUACUUAUACUCGGGAGUCAGACUGCGAGUGAUAAGAUCCGUAGUCGAAAGGGAAACAGCCCAGACCACCAGUUAAGGUCCCCAAAUAUAUGUUAAGUGGAAAAGGAUGUGGGGUUGCUUAGACAACCAGGAUGUUGGCUUAGAAGCAGCCACCAUUGAAAGAGUGCGUAAUAGCUCACUGGUCGAGUGACCCCGCGCCGAAAAUGUACCGGGGCUAAACAUAUUACCGAAACUGUGGAUGAACCUCUUUAGAGGUUCGUGGUAGGAGAGCGUUCUAAGGGCGGUGAAGUCAGACCGGAAGGACUGGUGGAGCGCUUAGAAGUGAGAAUGCCGGUAUGAGUAGCGAAAGAAGGGUGAGAAUCCCUUCCACCGAAUAUCUAAGGUUUCCUGAGGAAGGCUCGUCCGCUCAGGGUUAGUCGGGACCUAAGCCGAGGCCGAUAGGCGUAGGCGAUGGACAACAGGUAGAGAUUCCUGUACCAGUGCUAAUUGUUUAACCGAUGGGGUGACACAGAAGGAUAGGGAAUCGCACGAAUGGAAAUGUGCGUCCAAGCAGUGAGUGUGAGAAGUAGGCAAAUCCGCUUCUCGCGAAGCAUGAGCUGUGAUGGGGAAGGAAAUUAAGUACGGAAGUUCCUGAUUUCACGCUGUCAAGAAAAGCCUCUAGGAAGAGUAGUACUGCCCGUACCGCAAACCGACACAGGUAGAUGAGGAGAGAAUCCUAAGGUGAGCGAGAGAACUCUCGUUAAGGAACUCGGCAAAAUGACCCCGUAACUUCGGGAGAAGGGGUGCUCUAUUAGGGUGCAAGCCCGAGAGAGCCGCAGUGAAUAGGCCCAGGCGACUGUUUAGCAAAAACACAGGUCUCUGCAAAACCGUAAGGUGACGUAUAGGGGCUGACGCCUGCCCGGUGCUGGAAGGUUAAGAGGAGUGCUUAGCUUCGGCGAAGGUACGAAUUGAAGCCCCAGUAAACGGCGGCCGUAACUAUAACGGUCCUAAGGUAGCGAAAUUCCUUGUCGGGUAAGUUCCGACCCGCACGAAAGGCGCAACGAUCUGGGCACUGUCUCAACGAGAGACUCGGUGAAAUUAUAGUACCUGUGAAGAUGCAGGUUACCCGCGACAGGACGGAAAGACCCCGUGGAGCUUUACUGCAACCUGAUAUGGAAUGUUUGUACCG
rnacentral:rRNA from 1 species